rnacentral:sRNA from 1 species
GCCAGGCAAGGUGGCACAUGCCUGUAAUCCCAGCUUCUCAGGAGGCUGAGGCAGGAUAAUUUCAAGAUGAAAGCCAGCCUCAG